UACGAAGGGGGCUAGCGUUGCUCGGAAUCACUGGGCGUAAAGCGCACGUAGGCGGCUUGUUAAGUCAGGGGUGAAAUCCUGGAGCUCAACUCCAGAACUGCCUUUGAUACUGGCGAUCUCGAGUCCGGGAGAGGUGAGUGGAACUGCGAGUGUAGAGGUGAAAUUCGUAGAUAUUCGCAAGAACACCAGUGGCGAAGGCGGCUCGCUGGCCCGGUACUGACGCUGAGGUGCGAAAGCGUGGGGAGCAAACAGG
rnacentral:rRNA from 1 species